AUUGAACGCUGGCGGCAGGCCUAACACAUGCAAGUCGAACGGUAACAGGAAGCAGCUUGCUGCUUCGCUGACGAGUGGCGGACGGGUGAGUAAUGUCUGGGAAACUGCCUGAUGGAGGGGGAUAACUACUGGAAACGGUAGCUAAUACCGCAUAACGUCGCAAGACCAAAGAGGGGGACCUUAGGGCCUCUUGCCAUCGGAUGUGCCCAGAUGGGAUUAGCUAGUAGGUGGGGUAACGGCUCACCUAGGCGACGAUCCCUAGCUGGUCUGAGAGGAUGACCAGCCACACUGGAACUGAGGCACGGUCCAGACUCCUACGGGAGGCAGCAGUGGGGAAUAUUGCACAAUGGGCGCAAGCCUGAUGCAGCCAUGCCGCGUGUAUGAAGAAGGCCUUCGGGUUGUAAAGUACUUUCAGCGGGGAGGAAGGGAGUAAAGUUAAUACCUUGGCUCAUUGACGUUACCCGCAGAAGAAGCACCGGCUAACUCCGUG
rnacentral:rRNA from 1 species